rnacentral:tRNA from 2 species
GUGAAUAUAGUUUAACAAAAACCCUAGCUUGUGAUUUUAGAAAUGAGGAUUAAUCCUCCUCUAUUCACC